rnacentral:rRNA from 1 species
CUUCCGUAGGUGAACCUGCGGAAGGAUCAUUACCGAGUGAGGGCCCUCUGGGUCCAACCUCCCACCCGUGUUUAUCGUACCUUGUUGCUUCGGCGGGCCCGCCGUUCCGGCCGCCGGGGGGCGGCGACCCACGUCCCCGGGCCCGCCCCCGCCGAAGCUCGCUGCUGAACGCUGUCUGAAGAAUGGCAGCCUGUAGCCUAUGAGCUAAAUCAGUUAAAACUUUCAACAACGGAUCUCUUGGUUCCGGCAUCGAUGAAGAACGCAGCGAAAUGCGAUAAGUAAUGUGAAUUGCAGAAUUCAGUGAAUCAUCGAGUCUUUGAACGCACAUUGCGCCCCCUGGUAUUCCGGGGGGCAUGCCUGUCCGAGCGUCAUUGCUGCCCUCAAGCACGGCCAGCUUGUGGGUCGGAUCCCAAAAACCCCAAAUAGCCCCGGGCGGGCCCGAAAGGCAGCGGCGGCACCGCGUCCGGUCCUCGAGCGUAUGGGGCUUCGUCACCCGCUCUGUAGGCCCGGCCGGCGCCCGCCGGCGACCCCCCUCAAUCUUUCUCAGGUUGACCUCGGA